rnacentral:tRNA from 1 species
UGCCCGUAUGGUGGAAUGGUAGACACAGCAAGUUUAAGCCUUGCUUCCUUUGUGAGUGUGGGUUCGACUCCCUCUGCGGGUAUC